CCUGCCCACAAACACACUGGGUUACAUGAAACAAUUAAGCCAUCUUAUUAGCGCAAAGAGAGAGUGAUGUUCUAAGAAUAAUCUUAGUAACAGUCAGAAAUGGGGAAGGAUGUAACUUCCAAUGCACUAGUUUGACUCCCGCCUCCCCCACACUUACUGCUGGGAAGCGGAGCGAUGUGGCUGGACCACUUUCACAUUCACUGCUGGGAAGCGGAGCGAAACAGCCAGACUGCCCCCUGGAAAUUGCUCCACUUCCCUCACUGCUGAUGGUUAGAAGAACUACCAACAUAACAUGCUGAAACUUAAUGGAAUACUUUUGGGAUGUUGCAGAGGACAUAUUUCAGGCAAGAGACAUUCACAUAACUUCUCCUUGUGGCAAGAGACACAGAAAAAAAGAGAAGAACGUGGCCCAGUUCCUCAGGGUUCACAUUCAGCUGCCGCAGGGACAGCAAGUGGUUCUGUGGCAUGCAACAGCCAACAAAUUAAUUGCCCAUGGGAACUUAGAGGAGAGGAAAAAAAUGAGAAAGAGCACAUGAGGGAGCUUGACUGUACAUAUCUUCAGCUAUCAUCCUUGAUAAGAUCAGAUUCAUUAAAUACAAAUUGUUGGAGUAGGAAGGUUAGAA